GAUGAACGCUGGCGGCGUGCCUAAUACAUGCAAGUCGAGCGAACAGAUAAGGAGCUUGCUCCUUGGACGUUAGCGGCGGACGGGUGAGUAACACGUGGGUAACCUACCUAUAAGACUGGGAUAACUUCGGGAAACCGGAGCUAAUACCGGAUAAUAUUUCGAACCGCAUGGUUCGAUAGUGAAAGAUGGUUGUGCUAUCACUUAUAGAUGGACCCGCGCCGUAUUAGCUAGUUGGUAAGGUAACGGCUUACCAAGGCGACGAUACGUAGCCGACCUGAGAGGCUGGUCGCCCACACUGGAACUGAGCCACCGUCCAGGCGCCUACGGGAGGCCGCAGUCGGGUACCUUCCGCAGUGGGCGAGAGCCUUACGGAGCAACGCCGCGUGAGUGAUGGAGGUCUUCCGAUCGUAAAGCUCUGUUAUUAGGGAAAAACAUACGUGUAAGUAACUGUGCACGUCUUGACGGUACCUAAUCAGAAAGCCACGGCUAACUACGUG
rnacentral:rRNA from 1 species